AGCACUUUAAGCAACUCGUCCUACCAGUAUUUUUUGAGAUUCUUCAUAACCAGAUGGCAAGCACAUUCCUAGCUGCUUUUGGUUAGAAGGAUAACCUGUCAGACAUUUUCUUCAUGUUUUUGAUGGUCCCACCUGUUGGAGAAAGAAAAAAAAGCAUAGGUCAUCCAAGUCAAUGAACUUAGAUUCUCAUGUGGAACGAUUUAUAUAGAGAAGAGCCCCCAACUUCUUUGUAAAUCUCUUGCAUCAGGCACUCUUUUGAAAAUGCCUUCCUCAUCUGGAAAAUAAUUGGGGUCUGUCAUCGUGGCAUUCAAGAAGUUAGGGCAGGUGGUUCGGUAAAACAGCACUUGAAGGCAGGACUCUAUGGAGCAUGGAGGGUGAGGGGCUUGGGGGCAAUUUAGAGCCCAGUGGGGAAGGGGAGGCGUGUCUAAGGAGGCGUGUCUAAGGCCCCCUUCCUCUGAUGGGAGAGGGUUAAAGAAGGCUGAAAAGAGUAAUCACCCUAUUUC
rnacentral:lncRNA from 1 species